rnacentral:rRNA from 1 species
UUGGAGGGCAAGUCUGGUGCCAGCAGCCGCGGUAAUUCCAGCUCCAAUAGCGUAUAUUAAAGUUGCUGCAGUUAAUAAGCUCGUAGUUGAAUUUCGGGACCAAUAUCUCGGUCGUGCCUCGGUACGUACUGGCAUCGUUGGUUUCUCCCUUCUGACGAACCAUGAUGUCAUUCAUUUGGUGUCGUGGGGAAUCAGGACAGUUACUUUGAAAAAAUUAGAGUGUUUAAAGCAGGC